rnacentral:misc_RNA from 1 species
UCAUCGUUACAAAAGGACCAACUCAUACAUUUGUCUUCAAAGCAAAAACCAUUAUUCAUCCAAACCAAUAUUAACAACAAAAUCAAACUCAAGGAUUUAAUUUUUCAUGUAGAGGAUUCGGUCAUGGGUGGCCCGAUUCUUCUCCUGAAUCAAACCUCCACUUUAAAAGGAUCAAACGCUGGAUUUAUAACGGAAUGUCCCCCGUCCACGGCAAUAUUCUGUCCGCUCACAUACUUAGAAUCAUCGCUAGCCAAGAACAGUACUGCAUUGGCAAUAUCUUCUAUCUUCAGGGUAACUCCCUUCAGAUUCGCAAAAGAAUUCAUAAUUGCCUCCAAGCCCUCAUUAGUCAAUUUCAAAUAAUCUGUCGCCAGCGGCGUCGCAAGUGCUGCUGGUGAUACACAAUUCACCCGUAUCCCGUACCGCCCCAGCUCAG